rnacentral:rRNA from 1 species
GACGAACCGUGCAAACGUUAUUCGGAAUCACUGGGCUUAAAGGACGCGUAGGCGGGCCGCCAGGUCCGGGGUGAAAGCCUCCAGCUACAACUGGAGAAGUGCCUUGGAUACCGGCGGCCUCGAGGGAGGCAGGGGCGUGCGGAACUUCGGGUGGAGCGGUGAAAUGCGUAGAUAUCCGAAGGAACACCGGUGGCGAAAGCGGCGCGCUGGACCUCUUCUGACGCUGAGGCGCGAAAGCCAGGGGAGCAAACGGG